UACGUAGGAUGCAAGCGUUGUCCGGAAUUACUGGGCGUAAAGGGCGAGCAGGUGGCACUACAAGUCUGAUGUAAAAUCUCCCGGCUUAACUGGGAGGGGCCAUUGGAAACUGUAGAGCUGGAGUGCAGGAGAGGCUAACGGAAUUCCCGGUGUAGUGGUGAAAUGCGUAGAUAUCGGGAGGAACACCAGUGGCGAAGGCGGCUCACUGGCUCAUUUCUGACGCUCAGGCGCGACAGCGUGGGGAUCAAACAGG
rnacentral:rRNA from 1 species